AUUUCAUUAGUUUAAGACUUUAAAAUAUGACUCUGAAGAAGUCAAGAAUUAUGAAAUGG
rnacentral:tRNA from 1 species